CAGCCGCGACUCUGUUAGAGAGAGAGAAAGAGAGGAUAGAAAAGUAGAUCGAGAGGUUGAAAGGGAUGAAGAUUAGGAGCUUCUCUGGCUCGUGGCCGGAUCUCUGAAUUGGCGGAAGCGAUGGCCGUAGUGAGAACAGGUUUGAGUCAUCUAUUUGAUCUGGCUGCAAAUUGGGAUUGGGAGGCUGAAGUGUAAGAUGUACUGAGUCGUUGGUGGAUCUCAGAGUUUGAUGAAGAGAUGGCGUGGAUUGAUUUUUAUCUCCUGGCUGCAUAAUUGGGAACUUGGAAACACUUGUUCCUCAAAUUAACAAGGCCUAGAAGAAGUUUGACAGAGAGAGACGAAAACAGAGGAUGGUGAAUUUGAUCGUGGGGGAUUGAAAUCGAUUAAGAUUUGGAUCUGAUGGAUCGUGGCCGGAUCUGAUGGAUCGGUGAAGAGAUAGCCCUCCCGUUAAGAGGAAAAUCUAAUUAAGCUGAAGUCUGACUCUUUGCGAGAAGAAUACCAUCACAGAGGUUGCUACUCUUCUGAAAGAGGGAGCGAAGAAGGUAUAUCUACCCUCUCUGUGUGUUCCGAAGCAGAUGAAAGCGUUCGGAUCUUCGUCACUAUAGUUAAUAUUAUGUAAACCGUUAUGGACUUAAAACUUAACGGCAGAGAAUCUUUGUUGGACACCAGAAGAAUCAUUAGUUAGAAGGUUGGAAUCAGAGGGCGUCACUAAACAAAUCUUCAGUAAGCCGAAACUAAAGCUUCCAGUGCUGAAAAAACAGAGGCGCUCUUUGAAUGACCACCUCUUUCAGACCUUACCAAGGAUCAAUCAAUGUCCUAGAGGUCUGUGCCCCUAAGAGAAGUAAAGGACUGAUCACCCUUCAGAAGCCUCUGUGUCCGAAAUACAGAAACAGAGGAUGGAGAUUAGGAUCUUCUGGAUCGUCGCCCCUGUUCUCUAAGUUUCCUGAAGAGUUUUUUUUUUUUUUUUGGUUCUUGCUGGGAGCUUCGUACAUUUCUUCCACCACUCGAGAAAGCUUAGAGUGAACAAAGUUUCUGGUGAUUUCCCUCAGGAAAGGCUGAUGAGAUUAAGAAGUUAAUGCAUGAAAAUAAGCAGCUAAAAUCUAUCGCUGGGGACUUGAAGGGUAUUAGAGCAUUCUUACUCACUCUUCCCACCAUCUUUGUUUCCUGUGUGAUGAUUCUGAAGCAGAGGAAAUCUAAUGGAAGCUGAAGUCUGAGUCUUUGCUAGAAGAAUACCAUCAACCCUAUGUGAUCUGAAUUAUCUAAGAUACCGUAGGAAAACGUCACUCGGAACUUGUUUCUGUGAAAAGCGUUUUCAUUCGAAUGAAUUAGCUGCAGCAAAAGGGUGGUCAAGCAUUGGCAGAAGAGAGUAGCAACAAUGAAGCGAGAACCGAGUUGAGGAAUCCUCUAAACGACGAGGAGGGAGUGAGGGGAAUCUAUGCUCGUCUGAGUCUUUGCAAGAAGAAUUCCAUCAGAGGUUUCCUCCUCAUCCGAGGAAAUCAAAGACACCAUAAGAAAAUGUUUGCUAGGAAGUAGAGCUGAAAAACCAGAGCAUUCUUUGGAUGUACACCUCUCUCAGACCUUACCAAGGAUCAAUGUUCUAUAGAGCAGGGCAAGUUAAGCAAUCGAGCGGCAGAAAAGAGACAGGGAUAUCUGGCAGCUUAGGAGGAAGCAGAUAGCCUAGAAGGUUGAAGAGGAAGUUAGGGAACUGCGGAGAACACAUACGCAUGAGUUGCUGGAAGUGCUGCUCCACAAAGAGCUUAUUCAAUCAGUGAAAGGAGAAGAGCUUUCGGAGAAACAAGCUGCGCAAGAAGCUGAAUAAAUUAGAGAGGUAGAAGAAGAAAAGUAAAGGACUGAUCACAACGUUUCAGGGAAAAGGCUGAUAAGAAGACUGCAAAGUUAAUGCAUGUAAAUGAGCAGCUACAAUCUGUCACUGGGGAUAUGAAGCAUUAGCUGAAGAGCGUAAGUGCGGGGAAUCUAUUCUAGUACAAGCAAGUACUGGAAAAACUGAGGCAAAACCUUAAGCAAAAAGGAGAACUCCAACUAUAUAAGGAGACGCUUCUGUCUCUCCUUCCUACUAGUCCUACAAGCAGCGGCGCAGUCAAGUAUUCAGGAUUUUUGAGCAGCAUCAACGAGCAUUUGACGAUCUAGCGAUGGCUUUCAAUCUUCAGAACAUGGUUGAAGAGUACGACGAGACACUCUCGGAGAUCAUUCACCUCUCGACGGUUCGACCCCUCAGCUUGGUCGAGUGGAACUACGUCCUGGAUGAAGUGAAGCAGGCGAGAGAUGUGGGCGUUGACCAUCUCGGGUGGCUCUUUCCAGUCACCGAUGCGGGGGACAUCCCUGUGUUCAGCACAGGGUUGUACAGGGUGGAGACCCGUUCUGUGAGGGACCAUUACCCAUGGACCCCUGUCCACGGGCCUUACGGAGGAGGGUUUACCAUUCCCUACAUCCAGCACCCUCAGGAGGACGACCCUGUCGGUAUGCAUGCCCUAAGAGGCACCUACGCAGACCUUCCGCUGCAUGGCCAGUUCCUCCGUCGUCAGGUCGGGUGGAGGUCUACUGAGGCUGAUGGAGCCAAACCUGGGGAUGUGCUUGUGCACUACCUCAUGGUUGAUGAGCCGCUCUAGAUCUGAUUCCUGCUUUCUGCGUUGUAACACUUUGUCUGGAUGUUAUUCAGUCUUUCCUAUUUUCGCACAUCUGACUUAUCUGUUUUAUGUUAAACUUCUGUUUGGAUAUGUGACAUUUUCUGUUAUUUCUUUUUUUGGCACCA